AACGAACGCUGGCGGCAUGCCUAACACAUGCAAGUCGAACGAUGCCUUCGGGCAUAGUGGCGCACGGGUGCGUAACGCGUGGGAAUCUGCCUUUCGGUUCGGAAUAACUCAGGGAAACUUGAGCUAAUACCGGAUAACGCCGCAAGACCAAAGAUUUAUCACCGAAAGAUGAGCCCGCGUAGGAUUAGCUAGUUGGUGAGGUAAAGGCUCACCAAGGCGACGAUCCUUAGCUGGUCUGAGAGGAUGAUCAGCCACACUGGGACUGAGACACGGCCCAGACUCCUACGGGAGGCAGCAGUGGGGAAUAUUGGACAAUGGGCGAAAGCCUGAUCCAGCAAUGCCGCGUGAGUGAUGAAGGCCUUAGGGUUGUAAAGCUCUUUUACCCGGGAAGAUAAUGACGGUACCGGGAGAAUAAGCCCCGGCUAACUCCGUG
rnacentral:rRNA from 1 species